rnacentral:lncRNA from 1 species
GUGCAUCUACAUCAUUGUAUUUUACUAAUUUUUUUCUUUACUGUCUUUUCUGAAUGUAGGGAAUUAUUGACAUCAUCUACAAGGCAUAUUAACCAUGAAGAAAGACAGAUUUCAACUGUAUGUCCUCUUUCUGCAGAGACUGAAGAAGAGAUGUCAAGCAUCAUCAAGACAGGUCCACUGGGUAUGAGGACACAGAACAAGUUCCAUGGACCCCAGCUUCAAAAAACAUGACUCUACAGUGUGAAAUAAUUGAGGGUAAGCACUGCGAA